rnacentral:lncRNA from 1 species
AUGACAGGGGGUGUGCUCGGGAGGAUGGGGCCCGCGGGGCCCGCCAGGGCUUCAAGGCCUGGAUCCAUCCGGCCGAGCAGAAGACAGCAGGGGGCGCUCUUCUUUGCACCAACCUCCGUGCUCAUCACCUCCAAGCAAGCUUGGCGUGGGGCGGGCAGGCGAGCCUGCGUGUGCGGGCGCAUGCACACUCAGGCCCAGGGAAGACCCAGUCCCCAGGAAUCCUCCUGCCGCCCCCCGCCACGGCCCCUGACUCUUGCCCUGAGAACCUCCACGAUUGAGCCAGCCCCCUCUUCCUUGGAGGCCCGGGAACCCCCAACCUGCCCUGUGACACAGCGGCCUCAGGCUGGGCCCAGCCCGUGGCAGCACUGGGACAGCAAGCGGGGCUGGCCCUGUGCCCCAGGGCCUGGCCAGGGAUCUCCAGGGCAGGGGCUGUGGGGACAUGCCUCCCCAGGUGUGGAGGCAGCCCACUGCCCAGCAGGGCAGCAGAGAGUGGUGGGACGGGUCCAGCCCGGCAGUGCCCAGGGGCGUCCCAAACUCCCCACGCCUGACUGUGGGAGGGGCCCCCAGAGCAGAGGAGCCCACAGGGCCAGGCGCCAGCCAGCUGACCUGAGCCACAGCUGGGAGGGAAGGGGGCGCUGGACAGUGCUGGGCUCAGGGUCCGGCUGGGCUUCCCCCCGACCCCACUGCUGGGCCAGAGGGCUUCAGGGACUUGUGAACACCAGGCAGUGGGCUCGAGGGGCCGGGCAUGGAUGCAGGGCAGGGGGCAGACGCCCACCACCUGUCCUCCAGGACAAUACGAGGGGGUGGGCCCCUCACAGCACAAAGGGAACCGAGUCCUGGGGAGGGCAGCUGGCUGGAGGUCAGCUGUGGGGACACAGGAAGCUGAGUCCCUGGCUCCUGGAUUUGACACCUGCUGCGUCCACUCAUGCUGCUUCUGUUACAAGAACCAGGCCCAGGCUGAGCCAGGUCUGGGACCUGGCUGCAGUCCCUGAGGCCCUCACAAGGCGGCAGCACAAUGGUCCCACCGCCUCCAGCUUGGGCCUGGGGCUCAGGAAGCAGGGUCAGGGGUCUCAAGGGUCAAGGGAGGGACCCACCCUUUACAGCAACGCACCCCCCUGGCUGGCGUGCCCCCUCCCGCCGCUGCCUGCCGCAUCCUGA